AUACGUAGGUGGCGAGCGUUGUCCGGAAUUACUGGGCGUAAAGGGCGCGUAGGCGGCCUGUUAAGUCAGAUGUGAAACCCCCAGGCUCAACUUGGGGAUUGCAUUUGAAACUGAUGGGCUCGAGUGUCGGAGAGGAAAGCGGAAUUCCUAGUGUAGCGGUGAAAUGCGUAGAUAUUAGGAGGAACACCAGUGGCGAAGGCGGCUUUCUGGACGAUAACUGACGCUGAGGCGCGAAAGCGUGGGGAGCAAACAGGAUUAGAUACCCUGGUAGUCCACGCUGUAAACUAUGGAUACUAGGUGUGGGAGGUAUCGACCCCUUCCGUGCCGCAGUAAACGCAAUAAGUAUCCCGCCUGGGGAGUACGGCCGCAAGGUUGAA
rnacentral:rRNA from 1 species